AUUGAACGCUGGCGGCAGGCCUAACACAUGCAAGUCGAACGGUAACAGGAAGCAGCUUGCUGCUUCGCUGACGAGUGGCGGACGGGUGAGUAAUGUCUGGGAAGCUGCCUGAUGGAGGGGGAUAACUACUGGAAACGGUAGCUAAUACCGCAUAAUGUCGCAAGACCAAAGAGGGGGACCUUCGGGCCUCUUGCCAUCGGAUGUGCCCAGGUGGGAUUAGCUUGUUGGUGGGGUAACGGCUCACCAAGGCGACGAUCCCUAGCUGGUCUGAGAGGAUGACCAGCCACACUGGGACUGAGACACGGUCCAGACUCCUACGGGAGGCAGCAGUGGGGAAUAUUGCACAAUGGGCGCAAGCCUGAUGCAGCCAUGCCGCGUGUAUGAAGAAGGCCUUCGGGUUGUAAAGUACUUUCAGCGGGGAGGAAGGGAGUAAAGUUAAUACCUUUGCUCAUUGACGUUACCCGCAGAAGAAGCACCGGCUAACUCCGUG
rnacentral:rRNA from 1 species